rnacentral:rRNA from 1 species
CCUACGGGAGGCAGCAGUGAGGAAUAUUGGUCAAUGGGCGGGAGCCUGAACCAGCCAAGUCGCGUGAGGGAUGACGGUCCUACGGAUUGUAAACCUCUUUUGCCGGGGAGCAAGCGUGCGUUCGUGAACGCGCGUCGAGAGUACCCGGAGAACAAGCAUCGGCUAACUCCGUGCCAGCAGCCGCGGUAAUACGGGGGAUGCGAUCGUUAUCGGGCUUUAUGGGGGUUAAAGGGUGCGUAGGCGGGAUGCCAAGUCAGCGGUAAAAAUGCGGUGCUCAACGCCGUCGAGCCGUUGAAACUGGCGGGCUUGAGUGGGCGAGAAGUAGGCGGAAUGCGUGGUGUAGCGGUGAAAUGCAUAGAUAUCACGCAGAACUCCGAUUGCGAAGGCAGCAUACCGGCG